AGAGUUUGAUCCUGGCUCAGGAUGAACGUUGGCGGUAUGCUUAACACAUGCAAGUCGAACGGGAAGCUUAACUUCGGUUGAGUGGAGAGUGGCGGACGGGUGAGUAACACGUAGAUGACCUGCCUUGAAGAAGGGGACAACCAGUGGAAACGCUGGCUAAUACCGUAUGAGCUUGAUAUGAUUAGAGGGUUCUGGGGGACUUCGGUUUCGCUUUGAGAGGGAUCUGCGGGCUAUCAGCUAGUUGGUGAGGUAAAGGCUUACCAAGGCGAAGACGGCUAGGGGGCGUGAGAGCGCGACCCCCCACAAUGGGACUGAGACACGGCCCAUACUCCUACGGGAGGCAGCAGUGAGGAAUAUUGCACAAUGGGGGAAACCCUGAUGCAGCAAUGCCGCGUGAAUGAUGAAGGCUUUCGGGUCGUAAAAUUCUUUUCUGAGGGAAGAGAGAGGACGGUACCUCAGGAAUAAGUCCCGGCUAACUACGUGCCAGCAGCCGCGGUAAAACGUAGGGGGCAAACGUUAUCCGGAAUUAUUGGGCGUAAAGCGCAUGUAGGCGGUUAGAUAAGAUAGACGUGAAAGCUCCCGGCUCAACUGGGAGAGGUCGUUUAUGACUGUUUAACUUGAGGUAGGUAGAGGAGAGCGGAAUUCCCGGUGUAGUGGUGGAAUGCGUAGAGAUCGGGAGGAACACCAGUGGCGAAAGCGGCUCUCUGGGCCUUACCUGACGCUCAGAUGCGAAAGCGUGGGGAGCGAACGGGAUUAGAUACCCCGGUAGUCCACGCUGUAAACGAUGGGUACUAGGUGUAGCGGGUAUUGAGACCCCUGCUGUGCCGAAGUUAACGCGAUAAGUAUCCCGCCUGGGGACUACGGCCGCAAGGCUAAAACUCAAAGGAAUUGACGGGGGCCCGCACAAGCAGCGGAGCGUGUGGUUUAAUUCGAAGAUACGCGAAGAACCUUACCUGGGUUUGACAUAUAGGUAGUAGAGAAGCGAAAGCGGAUCGACCCUUCGGGGAGCCUAAACAGGUGUUGCAUGGCUGUCGUCAGCUCGUGUCGUGAGAUGUUGGGUUAAGUCCCGCAACGAGCGCAACCCUCGUCGUUAGUUACAAGUGUCUAGCGAGACUGCCGUGAUCAUAGCGGAGGAAGGUGGGGAUGACGUCAAGUCAGCAUGGCCUUUAUAUCCAGGGCGACACACACGCUACAAUGGCCGGUACAAUGGGCAGCCACACUGCGAAGUGGAGCGAAUCCUGAAAGCCGGUCUCAGUUCGGAUUGCAGUCUGCAACUCGACUGCAUGAAGGUGGAGUUGCUAGUAAACGCGCGUCAGCCAUAGUGCGUUGAAUACGUUCCCGGGCCUUGUACACACCGCCCGUCACGUCAUGGGAGCUGGUAACGCCUGAAGACGGUGGAUCAACCGUAAGGAGAUAGCUGCCUAAGGUGGGACUGGUAACUGGGACGAAGUCGUAACAAGGUAACC
rnacentral:rRNA from 1 species